rnacentral:lncRNA from 1 species
AAAUAGUGUUAUUUUAUGGACAACAAGAGAAAGUAAAACAGUGUUAUUUUAUGGAUACCGAGAGACAAAGUAAAACAGUGUUAUUUUAUGGACAACAAGACAAAGUAAAACAGUGUUAUUUUAUGGAUACCGAGAGACAAAGUAAAACAGUGUUAUUUUAUGGAUACCGAGAGACAAAGUAAAACAGUGUUAUUUUAUGGACACCGAGAGACAAAGUAAAACAGUGUUAUUUUAUGGACACCGAGAGACAAAGUAAAACAGUGUUAUUUUAUGGACACCGAGAGACAAAGUAAAACAGUGUUAUUUUAUGGACAACAAGACAAAGUAAAGCAGUGUUAUUUUAUGGACAACAAGAGACAAAGUAAAACAGUGUUAUUUUAUGGACAACAAGAGACAAAGUAAAACAGUGUUAUUUUAUGGACAACAAGAGACAAAGUAAAGCAGUGUUAUUUUAUGGACAACAAGACAAAGUAAAACAGUGUUAUUUUAUGGACAACAAGAGACAAAGUAAAACAGUGUUAUUUUAUGGACAACAAGACAAAGUAAAGCAGUGUUAUUUUAUGGACAACAAGAGACAAAGUAAAACAGUGUUAUUUUAUGGACAACAAGAGACAAAGUAAAACAGUGUUAUUUUAUGGACAACAAGAGACAAAGUAAAGCAGUGUUAUUUUAUGGACAACAAGACAAAGUAAAACAGUGUUAUUUUAUGGACAACAAGAGACAAAGUAAAGCAGUGUUAUUUUAUGGACAACAAGAGACAAAGUAAAACAGUGUUAUUUUAUGGACAACAAGAGACAAAGUAAAACAGUGUUAUUUUAUGGACAACAAGAGACAAAGUAAAGCAGUGUUAUUUUAUGGAUACCGAGAGACAAAGUAAAACAGUGUUAUUUUAUGGACAACAAGACAAAGUAAAACAGUGUUAUUUUAUGGACAACAAGAGACAAAGUAAAGCAGUGUUAUUUUAUGGACAACAAGAGACAAAGUAAAACAGUGUUAUUUUAUGGACAACAAGAGACAAAGUAAAACAGUGUUAUUUUAUGGACACCGAGAGACAAAGUAAAACAGUGUUAUUUUAUGGACACCGAGAGACAAAGUAAAACAGUGUUAUUUUAUGGAUAACAAGAGACAAAGUAAAACAGUGUUAUUUUAUGGACAACAAGAGACAAAGUAAAACAGUGUUAUUUUAUGGAUACCGAGAGACAAAGUAAAACAGUGUUAUUUUAUGGACACCGAGAGACAAAGUAAAACAGUGUUAUUUUAUGGAUAACAAGAGAAAGUAAAACAGUGUUAUUUUAUGGACAACAAGAGACAAAGUAAAACAGUGUUAUUUUAUGGACACCGAGAGACAAAGUAAAACAGUGUUAUUUUAUGGACACCGAGAGACAAAGUAAAACAGUGUUAUUUUAUGGACAACAAGAGACAAAGUAAAACAGUGUUAUUUUAUGGACACCGAGAGACAAAGUAAAACAGUGUUAUUUUAUGGACACCGAGAGACAAAGUAAAACAGUGUUAUUUUAUGGAUUCAAGACAAAAUAAAACAGUGUUAUUUUAUGGAUACCGAGAGACAAAGUAAAACAGUGUUAUUUUAUGGAUACCGAGAGACAAAGUAAAACAGUGUUAUUUUAUGGAUACCGAGAGACAAAGUAAAACAGUGUUAUUUUAUGGAUACCGAGAGACAAAGUAAAGCAGUGUUAUUUUAUGGACACCGAGAGACAAAGUAAAACAGUGUUAUUUUAUGGACACCGAGAGACAAAGUAAAACAGUGUUAUUUUAUGGACACCGAGAGACAAAGUAAAACAGUGUUAUUUUAUGGACAACAAGAGACAAAGUAAAACAGUGUUAUUUUAUGGACAACAAGAGACAAAGUAAAGCAGUGUUAUUUUAUGGACAACAAGACAAAGUAAAACAGUGUUAUUUUAUGGACAACAAGAGACAAAGUAAAGCAGUGUUAUUUUAUGGACAACAAGAGACAAAGUAAAACAGUGUUAUUUUAUGGACAACAAGAGACAAAGUAAAACAGUGUUAUUUUAUGGACAACAAGAGACAAAGUAAAGCAGUGUUAUUUUAUGGAUACCGAGAGACAAAGUAAAACAGUGUUAUUUUAUGGACAACAAGACAAAGUAAAACAGUUUUAUUUUAUGGACAACAAGAGACAAAGUAAAGCAGUGUUAUUUUAUGGACAACAAGAGACAAAGUAAAACAGUGUUAUUUUAUGGACAACAAGAGACAAAGUAAAACAGUGUUAUUUUAUGGACAACAAGAGACAAAGUAAAGCAGUGUUAUUUUAUGGAUACCGAGAGACAAAGUAAAACAGUGUUAUUUUAUGGACAACAAGACAAAGUAAAACAGUGUUAUUUUAUGGACAACAAGAGACAAAGUAAAGCAGUGUUAUUUUAUGGACAACAAGAGACAAAGUAAAACAGUGUUAUUUUAUGGACAACAAGAGACAAAGUAAAACAGUGUUAUUUUAUGGACACCGAGAGACAAAGUAAAACAGUGUUAUUUUAUGGACACCGAGAGACAAAGUAAAACAGUGUUAUUUUAUGGAUAACAAGAGACAAAGUAAAACAGUGUUAUUUUAUGGACAACAAGAGACAAAGUAAAACAGUGUUAUUUUAUGGAUACCGAGAGACAAAGUAAAACAGUGUUAUUUUAUGGACACCGAGAGACAAAGUAAAACAGUGUUAUUUUAUGGACAACAAGAGACAAAGUAAAACAGUGUUAUUUUAUGGACACCGAGAGACAAAGUAAAACAGUGUUAUUUUAUGGACACCGAGAGACAAAGUAAAACAGUGUUAUUUUAUGGACAACAAGACAAAGUAAAACAGUGUUAUUUUAUGGAUACCGAGAGACAAAGUAAAACAGUGUUAUUUUAUGGACACCGAGAGACAAAGUAAAACAUUGUUAUUUUAUGGACACCGAGAGACAAAGUAAAACAGUGUUAUUUUAUGGACAACAAGAGACAAAGUAAAACAGUGUUAUUUUAUGGACACCGAGAGACAAAGUAAAACAGUGUUAUUUUAUGGACAACAAGACAAAGUAAAACAGUGUUAUUUUAUGGACAACAAGACAAAGUAAAACAGUGUUAUUUUAUGGACAACAAGACAAAGUAAAACAGUGUUAUUUUAUGGACACCGAGAGACAAAGUAAAACAGUGUUAUUUUAUGGACAACAAGAGACAAAGUAAAACAGUGUUAUUUUAUGGAUACCGAGAGACAAAGUAAAACAUAAUUUGCCACAGUGAAAUGACAAAAGUACAAAAUAGUUUUCCAAGGUUAAAAUGCAGCACUACGUCCAAAUCAGUGGAGGCUGCUGAGGGGAGGACGGCUCAUAACAUUCACUGGAACGGAGCGAAUGGAAUGGCAUCAAACACAUGGAAACCAUGUUUGAUGUAUUUGAUACCAUUCCACUAAUUCCGCUCCAGCCAUUAUCAUGAGCCCGUCCUCGCCAAGUAAGGUGCCACCAACGUUCUGUGGCUCAAAGUCUCUCUCUGGCUCUCUCGCUGGUUCAAAUCAAAUGAUAUCACAGCUGGUGUAGACUUUUCAGUGAAAUGCUUCCCUAUGAGCCAUCCUAACGAUGCAGUUGAAAAAUAUUUUUCAAUAAUAAUAAAAAAUAGUAAC